GGCCGGUUGGCCCAAUGGCAAGGCGUCUGACUACGAUUCCACAACUUCCCUUCCCCCCCCUUGGAGCUCUAGAGGAGGGGGGCGUGGGUGGCAAUCAAUCAGUUAUCAGGAGAUUCUGGGUUCGACCCCCAGGCUGGUCA
rnacentral:tRNA from 2 species